rnacentral:snRNA from 1 species
GUGUUCACUUCCACAACACAUAUACUAAAACUGAAACAAUACAGAGAUUAGCAUGGCCCCCUGUGCAAGCAUGACACACAAAUUUGUGAAGUGUUCCAUAUUUUU